rnacentral:tRNA from 1 species
CCGAGACGUGUACGUCUCAGUAGGCCAGAGCGGCGGCCCAAAGCCGCGUGCGAGGGUUCGACUCCCUCCCGUACGAGCCA